AACAUCAGGACAGGGUGGAGUUCCACCACAGAGGACAGCACAGGGCUGGACAACAUCAGGACAGGGUGGAGUUCCACCACAGAGGACAGCACAGGGCUGGACAACAUCAGGACAGGGUGGGAGGUCCACCACAGAGGACAGCACAGGACUGGACAACAUCAGGACAGGGUGGGAGUUCCACCACAGAGGACAGCACAGGGCUGGACAACAUCAGGACAGGGUGGGAGGUCCACCACAGAGGACAGCACAGGGCUGGACAACAUCAGGACAGGGUGGGAGUUCCACCACAGAGGACAGCACAGGGCUGGACAACAUCAGGACAGGGUGGAGUUCCACCACAGAGGACAGCACAGGGCUGGACAACAUCAGGACAGGGUGGAGUUCCACCACAGAGGACAGCACAGGGCUGGACAACAUCAGGACAGGGUGGAGUUCCACCACAGACGACAGCACAGGGCUGGACAACAUCAGGACAGGGUGGAGUUCCACCACAGAGGCUGCACAGCAGGAGAUCCUGAGGAGAUGGUUCUCUUGGAUGUGUGUGGCUCGUUUGGUUUAUGGUUAUAAUGGUCCACACAGGGCAGACCACAAUCCACACUGGACCACAAAUCUCCUGGAAUCUCUGUCCAUGUCAGGAGAAUACCAGCCCCAAACUGUUUCAUAUUAUCUUGAAUCUGAGGAUAGUAACAUUUAUUGUUUUGAAACUUCUGUAUGUGUAAUGUUUACUGUAAAUGUGAUUGUUUAUUUCACUUUUGUAUAUUUACC
ensembl:lncRNA